GACGAACCGUGCGAACGUUGUUCGGAAUCAUUGGGCGUAAAGGGUGCGUAGGCGGCGCGGUAAGUCGGGUGUGAAAUCUCGGAGCUUAACUCCGAAACUGCAUUCGAUACUGGCGUGCUUGAGGACUGGAGAGGAGACUGGAAUUCAUGGUGUAGCAGUGAAAUGCGUAGAGAUCAUGAGGAAGACCAGUGGCGAAGGCGGGUCUCUGGACAGUUCCUGACACUGAGACACGAAGGCCAGGGGAGCAAACGGG
rnacentral:rRNA from 1 species